GCGGACGGGUGAGUAACGCUAGGAAUCUGCCUGGUAGUGGGGAUAACGUUCGGAAACGGACGCUAAUACCGCAUACGUCCUACGGGAGAAAGCAGGGGACCUUCGGGCCUUGCGCUAUCAGAUGAGCCUAGGUCGGAUUAGCUAGUUGGUGGGGUAAUGGCUCACCAAGGCGACGAUCCGUAACUGGUCUGAGAGGAUGAUCAGUCACACUGGAACUGAGACACGGUCCAGACUCCUACGGGAGGCAGCAGUGGGGAAUAUUGGACAAUGGGCGAAAGCCUGAUCCAGCCGUGCCGCGUGUGUGAAGAAGGUCUUCGGAUUGUAAAGCACUUUAAGUUGGGAGGAAGGGUUGUAGAUUAAUACUCUGCAAUUUUGACGUUACCGACAGAAUAAGCACCGGCUAACUCUGUGCCAGCAGCCGCGGUAAUACAGAGGGUGCAAGCGUUAAUCGGAAUUAUUGGGCGUAAAGCGCGCGUAGGUGGUUCGUUAAGUUGGAUGUGAAAUCCCCGGGCUCAACCUGGGAACUGCAUUCAAAACUGACGAGCUAGAGUAUGGUAGAGGGUGGUGGAAUUUCCUGUGUAGCGGUGAAAUGCGUAGAUAUAGGAAGGAACGCCAGUGGCGAAGGCGACCACCUGGACUGAUACUGACACUGAGGUGCGAAAGCGUGGGGAGCAAAC
rnacentral:rRNA from 1 species